GAAAUGCGAUAAGUAAUGUGAAUUGCAGAAUUCAGUGAAUCAUCGAAUCUUUGAACGCACCUUGCGCUCCUUGGUAUUCCUUGGGGCAUGCUUGUUUGAGUAUCAUGAAAUCUUCAAAGUAAAUCUUUUGUUAACUCAAUUGGUUUCUACUUUGGUAUUGGAGGUCUUUGCAGCUUCACACCUGCUCCUCUUUGUUCAUUAGCUGGAUCUCAGUGUUAUGCUUGGUUCCACUCGGCGUGAUAAGUUAUCUAUCGCUGAGGACACUGUAAAAGGUGGCCAAGGUAAAUGCAGAUGAACCGCUUCUAAUAGUCCAUUGACUUGGACAAUACUUUUAUGAUCUGAUCUCAAAUCAGGUAGGACUACCCGCUGAACUUAAGC
rnacentral:misc_RNA from 1 species